UUUUUUCGUAUCUUAAUUUAUGUUUAACCAUUUUGUUUAAUAUUUUUAUUCUUAAGAGUUAUUUACUUUAAUUUUAAUUUCGUUAUUUAGUUUGUUUGUGUUGAUUAAAUGUGAAUAAGAGGGAAAUUUAUUCUAGCCUUGUUCAUUGAUGAGAUUCAUGAUGGUUACAUGUUAGAGAACAAAAAAACAUGCUAAUGCACAUGAUGUAACAACAGUGUUACUAUUACACUUAAGUCUUGUCUGUUUACCUCCAAUUAUAAUCAGGUUAAUGAUUGUUUAGCUUGUCUUUUUAUUUUUAUUAUUUAAUUUUUACCACUUUUUACUUUAAUUUUGUGUUCACCAUUUCCUUUAUCUUUGUUUUUACCACCCGUUUUUUUUAUAAAAUUGUGAAAUCAACUGUUACCAUUAAGCCUCUUCCAUGUAUUACUGUUUCUAUGAUUUGUUUUAUGUGCUGUUGGCUGUUGAUAUUUGAUAAAUCACUGGAUGGAUUCUGAUUAUGAUUGUUAAUUAUUUAAUGGCUGAGUAAUUAGAUGUAUUAUAUCAAGGUGUUAUCACCAAAAUAAAAUACAGAUUAUCAUCAUUAUUAUAUCUCGUAAUUCUGAUAUCAUUCUCAUCAAUAUCAAGUCUUAAUGAUGCAUGUAGAUUAUGUGGAUAGUUUUGGCAAAUGAAUGAAACUCACAAUUGUCAGAUAAGAUUUGCAUUGAAACUGAAAAGGAUCACCAAUUCUUUCUCAUUAUUUUUUGGUUAUUAAUGUUUUUUUGUUAUCUUCAAGUUUCACUUCAGAUCAAGUUUCAUGUCAAUUGAAAGCGAUCCAUGUUAAUGGCCAAUUGGUCAAGCAGUUAAUUGUAAAAUAAUUGUGAACGGGAAAAAUAAUUUGGACAAAAGCGUCGUUAUGAUCACUUGGUAACAAAAAAAUUAAGAGUGAAAAAAGGAUUCAAGAAUUAGGAAAUUGUUGGUUGAUAAAUUGUUUAUUAUCUGGUUAUUAUGCCAAGAAUAAUGAUGAUGAAGAUGAUGGUCGAUUGAUUGAUUUAAUUGAGUAAUCAAGUGAAAUAUAGCUGAAGUGAAUCAUUUACUUUGAAGAGUACAACUACAACAGCAUCAACAGCAGCAAAAAGGGUGAUAAAAUGAAACAAUGAGGAUGAUAUACAUUUCACUCGGUUAUACUCGAUAGAAUUGAGUUCAUCAAGUAAAAAGGAGUAAAAAGGAUAACUCUAUGGAAAUGUUAUUAAAAUAUUAGGAUAACAAGAAAUUGCAGGUGUAUGAUGGCACAAAAUAGGAAUAACAACAAGAAAAAGAAAAUGAUAAAAUGAGAAAAAGAUCUUAUUUUGAUUAAUCUGGAUAUGGAGACAGAAAAAGACGAAUUGGAUUAAAAAAGUUCAACCAUUUAAAUUAUCAAGACAUCACUUUACGGACAAAAUAAUGAGACAAACAGAAGGGAAAAAAAGAAGUGAAAAGCAAGAAAAGUAAUGGCAAAGAAACCUAUGGAAAGAGUUACUCUACAUCAACUGUAUUUACCAUGUCAUCAAAAUUACAGGAGAAACUGAUAAACCAUUUGGAUGAUGAAUUAUUUUGUAUAAAAUAUUAACGAAGGAGAAGCAAAAGAGAAAGAAGCCUUUUUGUCAUCUUAUUUACUCAUGGAUUGUUUCAUCUUUUGCUCUCUUGAUUUUGGUUCUGUUCAAGAUGGAAAACCAACAAGUCUAAAACAUUUAUCCAAUCAUUCAUGGGGAAAUUUAGGUCAAAGGUCACUCGACUAUCCAUUGAUGAUAACUACGUAAAUUGGUGUAAGGCGGGAGGAAAAGGAAGCGAAAGAGAUAAAAUAGAUUCUGUUUGAAGAUCAUACUCUCACCCUUGCAUGAUCUUGCACAGAAGAUAUUUUUUUGAAUAAAAAUAGAUAGCGAGGUGUUUCUACCCUCCAUAUUGAUUAUAUCAUUGCAAUUGAGUGAUAGUGUGUGUGUAUGUGUCAGUGAGAGAAGGGAAAAAAAGAGCAAAGUAAGGAAGAGUAGAAUCAGAUGAUGAAAAAGAGGCAACAUGAAAAGAAAGAUAAAUGAAAUCUCAAGAUGAUAGAUAAGGGAAUGUAAGGAGAGCAAGUUGGUGAUCAAGAGCGAAUACGAGAUGGAAAUGUCAAUAUGUAUUAAUGUUGACAGCCUGUUGCUUAUUUCUGUAUCUGACCUUCAUUAGAAUUGACCCCUUUCACCAAAGAAGUUAUCAUCAUCAUAGUCAAUAUAAUAACAAUAUAACUCUCUCCAGUGAAGCAAACUAAAGAAACUGACGUUGCUGAUUUUCAGCAGCUAACAUAUUGUUUACCUUUUUACACUGAAAUCAAUACCAAGAAAGCCAAGUAAAGCAACAAUUUGAAAGAAACAGUUGAACACAAGAGGAAAUUGGUUAAAGGAAAUGGUUUCCAUCAAAAUAUCAAGACAAGUUUGGAGAAUAAAGCAGAAUGAGAAGCAAAAAACGUCCAAAAUAUUUGAAAAAGACUAUCUUUUUCUUCAUCUUCACCAGGUUUCCACCAGGAAAGUUCAUUAUAUCAAAAAAAGUGCAAAAUCCUAACGGUGCAAAGGUUGCCUGUCUUCAUUUUUUCAUAACCAUCUUCAACUUUAUCUGUCUCUUUCUACUUGUUUCUCAAUGGUUGAGAGUAUCGUUAAAGCGCGGGUAAACGCUUCAGGUGAUGACAGUUAUGGCGCAGUAAGGGAAAGAGAUGAUGACGACAGAUAAAAAAGAGGAUUGUAAACCUUACCUGAUUACCAUCACAUCGCCAUCACAUUUCAUUCCAUCUAUCUGAUUGAUGUAAAUUUUAUCGUAAACUGAACCAUGUUUCAACGUUGCUACAUUACUUGUUCAAAGAUAUGUUCAAGGUAUUGCAAGAUAAACCCCAUUCAGACCAACCAUUCACCUAGACUGGAGCGCAUUAAUCAUAAUCAACAAUAAUUUUCCAUUUCCGCUCUGAUCAUAAUCAACGACUUACAAAAAAAACGUCAAUCAACGCACUGUGAUGGCACACGUUUCAGGUCAAAUUCCGAUCAACAGUAAAGAGGAGAAAGAAAGAAAGAUGAUGAGAAAAAGCAAGAGAGGAAACUUGAAUGGUUGAGUGAGAAUAACGAAAAGAGAAGAUAUAAAUAUAUAUAUAUUUAUGAGAGAGUAAGGAAGAGAAGGAAAAAUGAAGAGCGGGAUUCAACGUCACGUUACGUUCAGCAGUAAGAGUCAAAAAAGGGCGCACGUUACAGGGUUAAAUUUGAGCUUGAUUAAAAG